UACGGGGGGGGCAAGCGUUGUUCGGAAUUACUGGGCGUAAAGGGCGCGUAGGCGGUCUUGUCAGUCCCUUGUGAAAUCCCCCGGCUCAACUGGGGAACUGCAAGGGAAACAGCAGGGCUUGAGUUCGGGAGAGGGAAGCGGAAUUCCGGGUGUAGCGGUGAAAUGCGUAGAUAUCCGGAGGAACACCGGUGGCGAAGGCGGCUUCCUGGACCGACACUGACGCUGAGGCGCGAAAGCUAGGGGAGCAAAUGGG
rnacentral:rRNA from 1 species